rnacentral:rRNA from 1 species
UGGGGAAUCUUGGACAAUGGGCGCAAGCCUGAUCCAGCCAUGCCGCGUGGAUGAUGAAGGCCUUAGGGUUGUAAAAUCCUUUCGCCGAGGACGAUAAUGACGGUACUCGGAGAAGAAGCUCCGGCUAACUUCGUGCCAGCAGCCGCGGUAAUACGAAGGGGGCUAGCGUUGUUCGGAUUUACUGGGCGUAAAGCGCGUGUAGGCGGGUCGUUAAGUUGGGGGUGAAAUCCCGAGGCUCAACCUCGGAACUGCCUUCAAAACUGGCGACCUGGACCUAAGUAGAGGCAAGUGGAAUUGCGAGUGUAGAGGUGAAAUUCGUAGAUAUUCGCAGGAACACCAGUGGCGAAGGCGACUUGCUGGACUUAUGGUGACGCUGAGACGCGAAAGCGUGGGGAGCAAACAGGAUUAGAUACCCAAGUAGUCCCUGAGCGGGCUGGCAAGGCGCAU